GUAGGGAAUCUUCCACAAUGGACGAAAGUCUGAUGGAGCAACGCCACGUGAUUGAAGAAGGUCUUCGGAUCGUAAAACUCUGUUGUUAGAGAAGAACGUGCAUGAUAGUAACUGAUCAUGUAAUGACGGUAUCUAACCAGAAAGCCACGGCUAACUACGUGCCAGCAGCCGCGGUAAUACGUAGGUGGCAAGCGUUGUCCGGAUUUAUUGGGCGUAAAGGGAACGCAGGCGGUUUUUUAAGUCUGAUGUGAAAGCCUUCGGCUUAACCGAAGAAUAGCAUUGGAAACUGGAAGACUUGAGUGCAGAAGAGGAGAGUGGAAUUCCAUGUGUAGCGGUGAAAUGCGUAGAUAUAUGGAGGAACACCAGUGGCGAAGGCGGCUCACUGGCUCGAUACUGACGCUGAGGUGCGAAAGCGUGGGGAGCAAACAGGAUUAGAAACCCGGGUAGUCC
rnacentral:rRNA from 1 species